GGGAGAGUGCAGGGAAGGCCACUUUUGGUGCAGAGCUAGAGAUAUUCCCCUUUAUCCACCCACAGCAGGUUGCAGUGACAGUGAAUUUUCCUGCAGAAAUUGUGCCAUCAAUUGCGUGAUAAAGGAGGAAUCCCGAAGUGGCUCUGUUUCUGUGACCUCAUCCUCCCAAAGGUUUUGCUCUAUUCUGAUGGGUGCCAUCUCCAUACUUCCAGCCUGGAUGUCCCAAACUUCAGGACACCAUGUGGAGUAAUCUGGACUUUUUCCUAUCAGCAUCCUCUAGGUUAUUUGGAUGAAAUGCUUAUUUCUUUUUUAACAUAAGCAUUGACUGGAAAUAUUGGUUAUUCUGUCUGAUAUUACAUGAAGGUCAGAUGCCCUCCAUGCAACCAUGAGGUCGGAUGGCAGUUUGAUGCUGAACCAGCAAACAAGCCUACUCAGCAUGAAACUAUGAGUAUAAAAACCUUUAUGAUGACCUACCUCCACUUGGAUCAAUGAAGAGAAGAAGAGUUGUGGACAUAGACACAUACAGAGAGAAGACCAUGUGAAGUCACAGGGAGAAGACAGCCACCUACAUACCAAGGAGAGAGGCUGUACAAGAAACCAACCCUGAUGACACCUUGAUCUUGGACUUCCAGCUUCCAGAUUUACAGGAAAAUAAAUUUCCGUUGUUUAAGCCACACAGUCUAUGGCAUUUUGUUAUGGCAGUUCUAGCAAACUAAUAUACAGCCUAUAUCAUAUACUACUCAGUUUGACUACUUUUAUUUUGGAACAUAUUAUACUUUUGCUACUUUUGCUUAUGCAGUUUCUUUUGCUUAGUGUCCCUUGCUAGUAGAUAUUUAUAUUUAAAGAUAUUUUAGGCCUGGCACAGUGGCUCACACCUGUAAUUCCAACACUUUGGCAGGCUGAGGUGAGUAAAUCACUUGAGGCCAGGAGUUUGAGAUCAGCCUGGCUAACAUGGCGAAACCCCUUCUCUACUAAAAAAUACAAAAGUUAGCUGG
rnacentral:lncRNA from 10 species